AACCACACGGGAUAAUUCGAUUAUCCCGUGCGGUUGUCUUAAGCGGACCGCACGGCAUAAUCGAUUAUCCCGAGCGGCC
rnacentral:pre_miRNA from 11 species